GGAUUAGGCAUGCAAGUCGAACGAGGAUAUAUCCUUCGGGAUAUAAGCCGAGUGGCACAAGGGUGAGCAAUGCAUAGAUUACCUACCUUUAGGAUAAGGACAACUUUGUGAAAACGGAGCUAAUACUUAAUAAUACAAAAGAAAAUAAUUUUCUUUUGUCAAAGGGAGGGUAGCAAUACCUUUCGCCUAGAGAGGGGUUUAUGUCCUAUCAGCUUGUUGGUGGGGUAAUAGCCUACCAAGGCAAAGACGGGUAGCCGGUUUAAGAGGAUGGUCGGCCACACUGGGACUGAGACACUGCCCAGACUUCUACGGAAGGCUGCAGUCGAGAAUCUUUCGCAAUGCCCGAAAGGGUGACGAAGCGACGCCGCGUGGGUGAAGAAGGCCUUCGGGUUGUAAAACCCUGUCAGGAGUUAUGAAAUGUAAGUACGCUAAUAUCGUGCUUAUUUGACAAAGGCUCCAAAGGAAGCCACGGCUAACUCUGUGCCAGCAGCCGCGGUAAUACAGAGGUGGCGAGCGUUGUUCGGAAUUAUUGGGCGUAAAGAGCACGUAGGUGGGUUUGCAAGUCAGAUGUGAAAGCCUUCUGUUCAACGGGAGAAUUGCAUCUGAAACUGCUAAUCUUGAGUAUAGGAGGGGAGAAUGGAACUUCUGGUGGAGCGGUGAAAUGCGUAGAUAUCAGAAGGAACGCCGGCGGCGAAAGCGAUUCUCUGGCCUAUUACUGACACUCAGUGUGCGAAAGCUAGGGGAGCAAACGGGAUUAGAUACCCCGGUAGUCCUAGCCGUAAACGAUGGGCACUAAGUAGAGGGGUUUU
rnacentral:rRNA from 1 species